rnacentral:rRNA from 1 species
UGGAGUAUGUGGUUUAAUUCGACGCAACGCGCAAACCUUACCUGGUCUUGACAUCCCGGGAAUCUUUCUGAAAGGAGAGAGUGCCUCGCAAGAGGAGCCUGGUGACAGGUGCUGCAUGGCUGUCGUCAGCUCGUGUCGUGAGAUGUCGGGUUAAGUCCCGCAACGAGCGCAACCCCUAUCUUUAGUUGCCAUCAUUGAGUUGGGCACUCUAAAGAGACUGCCGGCGUCAAACCGGAGGAAGGUGGGGAUGACGUCAAGUCCUCAUGGCCUUUAUGACCAGGGCUACACACGUACUACAAUGGCCGGUACAAAGGGCAGCGACACAGCGAUGUGAAGCCAAUCCCGAAAAGCCGGUCUCAGUCCGGAUUGGAGUCUGCAACUCGACUCCAUGAAGUUGGAAUCGCUAGUAAUCGCGGAUCAGCAUGCCGCGGUCGAAUACGUUCCCGGGCCUU